rnacentral:rRNA from 1 species
AAUCUGCCUGUAAGACGGGGAUAACUCCGGGAAACCGGGGCUAAUACCGGAUAAUAAGAGAAGAAGCAUUUCUUCUUUUUGAAAGUUGGUUUCGGCUAACACUUACAGAUGAGCCCGCGGCGCAUUAGCUAGUUGGUGAGGUAACGGCUCACCAAGGCGACGAUGCGUAGCCGACCUGAGAGGGUGAUCGGCCACACUGGGACUGAGACACGGCCCAGACUCCUACGGGAGGCAGCAGUAGGGAAUCUUCGGCAAUGGGCGAAAGCCUGACCGAGCAACGCCGCGUGAGCGAUGAAGGCCUUCGGGUCGUAAAGCUCUGUUGUUAGAGAAGAACAAGUACGAGAGUAACUGCUCGUACCUUGACGGUACCUAACCAGAAAGCCACGGCUAACUACGUGCCAGCAGCCGCGGUAAUACGUAGGUGGCAAGCGUUAUCCGGAAUUAUUGGGCGUAAAGCGCGCGCAGGCGGUCUCUUAAGUCUGAUGUGAAAGCCCACGGCUCAACCGUGGAGGGUCAUUGGAAACUGGGAGACUUGAGUGCAGGAGAGAAAAGUGGAAUUCCACGUGUAGCGGUGAAAUGCGUAGAGAUGUGGGGGAACACCAGUGGCGAAGGCGGCUUUUUGGCCUGUAACUGACGCUGAGGCGCGAAAGCGUGGGGAGCAAACAGGAUUAGAUACCCUGGUAGUCCACGCCGUAAACGAUGAGUGCUAGGUGUUGGGGGGUUCCACCCUCAGUGCUGAAGUUAACACAUUAAGCACUCCGCCUGGGGAGUACGACCGCAAGGUUGAAACUCAAAGGAAUUGACGGGGGCCCGCACAAGCAGUGGAGCAUGUGGUUUAAUUCGAAGCAACGCGAAGAACCUUACCAGGUCUUGACAUCCUUUGACCACUCUAGAGAUAGAGCUUUCCCCUUCGGGGGACAAAGUGACAGGUGGUGCAUGGU